rnacentral:rRNA from 1 species
UGAGUCGACCCCUAAGGCGAGGCCGAAAGGCGUAGUCGAUGGGAAACAGGUUAAUAUUCCUGUACUUGGUGUUACUGCGAAGGGGGGACGGAGAAGGCUAUGUUGGCCGGGCGACGGUUGUCCCGGUUUAAGCGUGUAGGCUGGUUUUCCAGGCAAAUCCGGAAAACCAAGGCUGAGGCGUGAUGACGAGGCACUACGGUGCUGAAGCGACAAAUGCCCUGCUUCCAGGAAAAGCCUCUAAGCAUCAGGUAACAUCAAAUCGUACCCCAAACCGACACAGGUGGUCAGGUAGAGAAUACCAAGGCGCUUGAGAGAACUCGGGUGAAGGAACUAGGCAAAAUGGUGCCGUAACUUCGGGAGAAGGCACGCUGAUAUGUAGGUGAAGCGACUUGCUCGUGGAGCUGAAAUCAGUCGAAGAUACCAGCUGGCUGCAACUGUUUAUUAAAAACACAGCACUGUGCAAACACGAAAGUGGACGUAUACGGUGUGACGCCUGCCCGGUGCCGGAAG